AUCCAAACACGAGAGCACCAAUCCGUAAACCGUGGCUCAGUUCAGAUCGUAGGCUGCAUCUCGCCUACGUGAAGUAAGAAUCGCUAGUAAUCGCUUGUCAUCAUACUGCGGUGAAUACGUUCCCGGGCCUUGUACACACCGCCCGUCACACCAUGGAAGUUGGCCAUGCCCGAAGUCUUUACUCCAACCCUUGUGGAGGAGGACGCCGAAGGUGGGGCUAAUGACUGGGGUGAAGUCGGAACAAGGUACCCGUACCGGAAGGGGCGGCUGGAUCACCUCCUAA
rnacentral:rRNA from 1 species